rnacentral:rRNA from 1 species
AUUGAACGCUGGCGGCAGGCUUAACACAUGCAAGUCGAGCGCGCGGCGGACGGGUGAGUAAUGUCUGGGAAACUGCCUGAUGGAGGGGGAUAACGACUGGAAACGGUAGCUAAUACCGCAUACCAUCAGAUGUGCCCAGAUGGGCUUAGCUAGGAGGGGGGGUAAUGGCUCACUUAGGCGACGAUCCCUAGCUGGUCUGAGAGGAUGACCAGCCACACUGGAACUGUGGCACGGUCCAUACUCCUACGGGAGGCGGCAGUGGGGAAUAUUGCACAAUGGGCGCAAGCCUGAUGCAGCCAUGCCGCGUGUGUGAAGAAGGCCUUCGGGUUGUAAAGCACUUUCAGCGAGGAGGCGUUACUCGCAGAAGAAGCACCGGCUAACUCCGUGCCAGCAGCCGCGGUAAUUC